rnacentral:rRNA from 1 species
UAGGGAAUCUUCGGCAAUGGACGAAAGUCUGACCGAGCAACGCCGCGUGAGUGAAGAAGGUUUUCGGAUCGUAAAACUCUGUUGUUAGAGAAGAACAAGGACGUUAGUAACUGAACGUCCCCUGACGGUAUCUAACCAGAAAGCCACGGCUAACUACGUGCCAGCAGCCGCGGUAAUACGUAGGUGGCAAGCGUUGUCCGGAUUUAUUGGGCGUAAAGCGAGCGCAGGCGGUUUCUUAAGUCUGAUGUGAAAGCCCCCGGCUCAACCGGGGAGGGUCAUUGGAAACUGGGAGACUUGAGUGCAGAAGAGGAGAGUGGAAUUCCAUGUGUAGCGGUGAAAUGCGUAGAUAUAUGGAAGAACACCAGUGGCGAAGGCGGCUCUCUGGUCUGUAACUGACGCUGAGGCUCGAAAGAGUGGGGAGCAAACAGG